GAUGAACGCUGGCGGCGUGCCUAAUACAUGCAAGUAGAACGCACAGAUUAUACCGUAGCUUGCUUCAUCAUAGACUGUGAGUUGCGAAUGAGUGAGUAAUGCGUAGGUAAUCUGCCUGGUAGCGGGGCGUAACUAUUGGAAACGAUAGCUAAUAUCGCAUAAUCUUAAUUAUUCCAUGGUAAUUAAUUGAAAGGUGGAAUUGUACCACUACCAGAUGGAUCUGUGUUGUAUUAGCUAGUAGGUGAGGUAACGGCUCAACUAGGCGACGAUUCAUCGGCGACCUUGGGGGGGGGACGGCCACACUGGGACUGGGGCACGGCCCAGAAUCCUUCCGGGAGGAGCAGGAGGGGAACUUCGGCAAUGGACGGAAAUCCGGCCGAACAAAGCCGCGGGGGGGGAGAAGGGUUUCCGAUCGUAAAGCUCUGUUUUAAGGGAAAGACGGGUGGGAGAGUGGAAAGUGCACACUGUGACGGUACCUUACCAGAAAGCGACGGCUAACUACGUG
rnacentral:rRNA from 1 species